CUGAUAUGGACUUGGCUGGUGAUGAUCCUGCUAGUGACGGAGGAGAGCGUGGAGAGAGCGAAAUGAGUCCCGAUUCCGUUCCUGUGUCUCCUGGUGAGCCUGACCCGCUGCCCCAGUUAAAAAGGCCUACAGGGGUUGCCGACAUUAGGGAGGAUAGCAAUGUAGGACCUGAUUCCGCAGAUCCAGAUAACUUGCAGGAGGCAUACGUGGAUUUUGGGAAUAAAGAGGCUAACGCAUCCAUAAGGGGUAACUCAUUUUUGUUGGUUGUAGUCUCUUUAUUCUU